rnacentral:lncRNA from 1 species
UUCAGAACUGCAAGGCAAAAACGGUAAUGUGCAUGUUUUGUUAUGAUUGUAGAAGGUGCAGACGAGAGUCUUUGCAAAACGUUCAGGGUUCAGUCUGCUCGGCUAUAGGGACGAUCUCCUGGCCUUGUGAGUGAAGAAGUUGGACACCCUGCCUAAACGGAAAGGGUGCCGCACUGAUGGUGCAGUUGGAGCUGGUGGGAGGGUAUCAGAAUGAACAAAGCCUGGAAUGGGUCUCGAACAGGGGGACCCGGUAGGUUUAUUACAAAGUGCUACUCAGAUGUUCAAGUAGAAAGCUAUGGCAGCAUACAUAGACUGCAAAGGGACAAGUGAAGGUUUACCUCAUACUGAAGGGAAAAGAAACAACGUUUCGGCUGUGGCCUUCUUAAGGUGUGAGGGAGAGAAGGGAAAGUUGCAGACAAAUGAAGCACAGGAGAACAAAGGACAGAGUGGUUAAGGAAAAGGGGGUGAGCAGGUGAGAAUGAGUGUCCAGACGCAGGGAGAGCAGGAGGAGAGGUGUGAAAAGCCAGAAUCGGGAUUUAAAGCCUUUGUCGGACUACAGGAGAGUCGGAGAGCGUGUCAAAUUUACCGACUGCAGUUGCUGAAUCUCGCUGCCUUUUCUGUCCUAGAGGGCGUUAAAUUCUACGACUGGGAACCGCAGGGGGUGACUAAUCACAUGACAAUCCCUCAGGACUUUUCAUCACGGUUCCAAAUCUCGUGUUGCGUGGUGAAAGUACUGCGAGGUCGCCUCGUUUUGGAAGCCAAUCAACGUGGAGCACCCCGGAAUAAGAGGAGGAGCACCCCACGAAGCCCAGAUGAUAAAGAGGGGGUCACCACUGUUUUGAUGCCCUGGAGCUUCCCAGUGUCCUAGCAUGCCUGGGCGGGCCCUGGACUACCACACUGCCGCCACGGCAACCGGAUCCCAACAUUCCGCCCUCAGAAGCAUACGGUAGGGUAAUAAAGCCUUACAUCACUGCCAUC